GUAGCAAGGUUAACCGUAUAGGGGAGCCGCAGGGAAACCGAGUCUUAACUGGGCGUUAAGUUGCAGGGUAUAGACCCGAAACCCGGUGAUCUAGCCAUGGGCAGGUUGAAGGUUGGGUAACACUAACUGGAGGACCGAACCGACUAAUGUUGAAAAAUUAGCGGAUGACUUGUGGCUGGGGGUGAAAGGCCAAUCAAACCGGGAGAUAGCUGGUUCUCCCCGAAAGCUAUUUAGGUAGCGCCUCGUGAAUUCAUCUUCGGGGGUAGAGCACUGUUUCGGCUAGGGGGUCAUCCCGACUUACCAACCCGAUGCAAACUACGAAUACCGAAGAAUGUUAUCACGGGAGACACACGGCGGGUGCUAACGUCCGUCGUGAAGAGGGAAACAACCCAGACCGCCAGCUAAGGUCCCAAAGUCAUGGUUAAGUGGGAAACGAUGUGGGAAGGCACAGACAGCCAGGAUGUUGGCUUAGAAGCAGCCAUCAUUUAAAGAAAGCGUAAUAGCUCACUGGUCGAGUCGGCCUGCGCGGAAGAUGUAACGGGGCUAAACCAUGCACCGAAGCUGCGGCAGCGACACUAUGUGUUGUUGGGUAGGGGAGCGUUCUGUAAGCCUGCGAAGGUGACCUGUGAGGGUUGCUGGAGGUAUCAGAAGUGCGAAUGCUGACAUAAGUAACGAUAAAGCGGGUGAAAAGCCCGCUCGCCGGAAGACCAAGGGUUCCUGUCCAACGUUAAUCGGGGCAGGGUGAGUCGACCCCUAAGGCGAGGCCGAAAGGCGUAGUCGAUGGGAAACAGGUUAAUAUUCCUGUACUUGGUGUUACUGCGAAGGGGGGACGGAGAAGGCUAUGUUAGCCGGGCGACGGUUGUCCCGGUUUAAGCAUGUAGGCUGGUUGUCCAGGCAAAUCCGGAUAAUCAAGGCUGAGGUGUGAUGACGAGGCACUACGGUGCUGAAGUAACAAAUGCCCUGCUUCCAGGAAAAGCCUCUAAGCAUCAGGUAACAUUAAAUCGUACCCCAAACCGACACAGGUGGUCAGGUAGAGAAUACCAAGGCGCUUGAGAGAACUCGGGUGAAGGAACUAGGCAAAAUGGUGCCGUAACUUCGGGAGAAGGCACGCUGGUGUGUAGGUGAAGUCCCUGCGGAUGGAGCUGAGACCAGUCGAAGAUACCAGCUGGCUGCAACUGUUUAUUAAAAACACAGCACUGUGCAAACACGAAAGUGGACGUAUACGGUGUGACGCCUGCCCGGUGCCGGAAGGUUAAUUGAUGGGGUUAUCCGUAAGGAGAAGCUCUUGAUCGAAGCCCCGGUAAACGGCGGCCGUAACUAUAACGGUCCUAAGGUAGCGAAAUUCCUUGUCGGGUAAGUUCCGACCUGCACGAAUGGCGUAAUGA
rnacentral:rRNA from 1 species